rnacentral:rRNA from 1 species
CUGAAUGGGGCAACCCGGCAUGUUGAAGACAUGUCACCGAAAGGAGCAAACCCGGAGAACUGAAACAUCUAAGUACCCGGAGGAAUAGAAAACAAUAGUGAUUCCCCUAGUAGCGGCGAGCGAACGGGGACCAGCCCAAACCAACAUUGUUUCGGCAUUGUUGGGGUUGUAGGACGGACAUAAUCCGACUCAAAGUCUGCAGAACCAACUGGAAAGUUGGGCCACAGCGGGUGAUAGCCCCGUAUGCAGGUAGAGAAGAGGUGGACCGGAUCCUGAGUAGCGCGGAACAUGUGAAAUUCUGUGUGAAUCUGCCAGAACCAUCUGGUAAGGCUAAAUAUGUGAGAGACC